AUUGAACGCUGGCGGAAUGCUUUACACAUGCAAGUCGAACGGUAGAGGGGGCAACCCCUCGAGAGUGGCGAACGGGUGAGUAAUAUAUCGGAACGUGCCCAGUCGUGGGGGAUAACGUAGCGAAAGUUACGCUAAUACCGCAUACGAUCUAAGGAUGAAAGCGGGGGAUCGCAAGACCUCGCGCGAUUGGAGCGGCCGAUAUCAGAUUAGGUAGUUGGUGGGGUAAAGGCCUACCAAGCCGACGCUCCAUAGCUGGCCUGAGAGGAUGAUCAGCCACACUGGGACUGAGACACGGCCCAGACUCCUACGGGAGGCAGCAGUGGGGAAUUUUGGACAAUGGGCGAAAGCCUGAUCCAGCCAUGCCGCGUGUCUGAAGAAGGCCUUCGGGUUGUAAAGGACUUUUGUCAGGGAGGAAAUCCCUAGUGCUAAUAACACUGGGGGAUGACAGUACCUGAAGAAUAAGCACCGGCUAACUACGUGCCAGCCGCCGCGGUAA
rnacentral:rRNA from 1 species